AGGGGUGUAGCUCAAUUGGCUAGAGCGCCGGUCUCCAAAACCGGAGGUUGAGAGUUCGAGACCCUCCGCCCCUGCCA
rnacentral:tRNA from 31 species